rnacentral:rRNA from 1 species
CUUGGUGUGAAUUGCAGAAUUCAGUGAAUCAUCGAAUCUUUGAACGCACAUUGCGCCCCUUGGUAUUCCGGGGGGCAUGCCUGUUCGAGCGUCAUUACAACCCUCAAGCUCUGCUUGGAAUUGGGCACCGUCCUCACUGCGGACGCGCCUCAAAGACCUCGGCGGUGGCUGUUCAGCCCUCAAGCGUAGUAGAAUACACCUCGCUUUGGAGCGGUUGGCGUCGCCCGCCGGACGAACCUUCUGAACUUUUCUCAAGGUUGACCUCGGAUCAGGUAGGGAUACCCGCUGAACUUAAGCAUAUCAAUAAGCGGAGGA